rnacentral:tRNA from 1 species
UCCCAGGUGACUCAGGUUAAAGAAUCUGCCUGCAAUGCAGGAGACCCAGGUUCCAUCCCUGGGCUGGGAA